UGCAGUGAUACUAAGGGGACA
rnacentral:piRNA from 1 species